GAUCCUGGCUCAGGACGAACGCUGGCGGCGUGCCUAAUACAUGCAAGUAGAACGCUGAAGGAGGAGCUUGCUUCUCUGGAUGAGUUGCGAACGGGUGAGUAACGCGUAGGUAACCUGCCUGGUAGCGGGGGAUAACUAUUGGAAACGGUAGCUAAUACCGCAUAAUAGCAGUUAUUGCAUGAUAACUGUUUGAAAGGUGCAAUUGCAUCACUACCAGAUGGACCUGCGUUG
rnacentral:rRNA from 1 species